GAUGAACGCUGGCGGCGUGCUUAACACAUGCAAGUCGAACGUGAGAGGUAGCAAUAUCUUGAAAGUGGCGCACGGGUGAGUAACACGUAGGUAACCUGCCUCGGAGUGGGGGAUAACAGUUAGAAAUGACUGCUAAUACCGCAUGAAUCCAUUAAGAUGGGAAUGUUGAUGGAGAAAAACUCUGGUGCUUCGAGAGGGCCUGCGAUCGAUUAGCUAGUUGCGGGUAAACGGCCACCAAGGCGACGAUCGAUAGCUGGUCUGAGAGGACGAUCAGCCACACGGGAACUGAAACACGGUCCCGACUCCUACGGGGGCAGCAGUGAGGAAUAUUGGGCAAUGGGGGAAACCCUGAUGCAGCGACGCCGCG
rnacentral:rRNA from 1 species